UACAGAGGAGCCAAGCGUUGUCCGGAUUGACUGGGCGUAAAGCGCACGCAGGCGGACGCGCGCGUGGGGUGUGAAAUCUGGCCGCUUAACGGCCAGGGGCCAUCCCAUACGGCGCGUCUGGAGCGCUGCAGAGGUCGGUGGAAUUGCCGGUGUAGUGGUGAAAUGCGUAGAGAUCCGGAGGAACACCGAAGGCGAAGGCAGUGUCCUGGCGCGUAACUGACGCUGAGGUGCGAAAGCCAGGGGAGCGAACGGG
rnacentral:rRNA from 1 species